GCCCAAGAUGGAUGGCUCAGUCAGUAGAGCAUGAGACUCGUAAUCUCAGAGUCAUGGGUUCGAGUCCUACAUUGGGCA